GUAAGAACAUUCCAGAGAAGAUCAGGGGAGAUGAUUUUAUAAUACGGAAUGAGAAGAAUAAUCUAGAACAGUGUAAAUAAGCAGAACGUUCUAGAGCAGUGUGGAAAGGGAGCGUCAUAUUGAGGGGGUGAUUCUCGAACAGGGUGAAUAAACUGAAUGUUUUAGAAUGGAGAAUAUACUAGAACCGUGUGAACAGAGGAGAACGUUCUGAAGAAUUAUAGAGAACGUUCUAGAUCACGAACAGCAGAUCAGGCCAGUCCAGCAGAACGUGGGUCGGUGUUCUCUGGGAUUAACACUUACAGACACUUCCUGCGGUGAGGUCCGAACGUUCUAGAGUGUUCUGGUGUUCUAGUGGAGAUGAGCAGAACCGAGCUGCUGGAUUAGAGUGAAUAAUGAAGAAGGGAUGAGUUCUGACUCGGUUCUUCUCAGUAUUAAUAUUCAGGGUGAGUACUGCACCAAUCUGAAGUAAUAAAGAGUAAUGAAAGAUUCAGUGCAGGGGUUUGGACGGGGGUUAUGAUCGGGGCACAUCCAGUUAAAGGAGAGUAAUAUGGUUUUGGGAUUACAGAUUACGAUUAGGGUUUUGGGAUUAGAGUUAUGAAUGUCUGGACACAAGGGAUAAAGUUUGAACCCUUAAUAUUAGUAAUUAAUACAGAUUACACUGCAGUUACAUCUGGAUUAUUUAGCCAUUUAACAUUCCUUGAUCCACAGUGUCAUGUGACACUGACAAUGUUCGGCAUCAGCAGCCGGAGUCAGAGAGAAUACAGUUGGCACUAAACACUAUAAAUGCUGUAGUUCACGUUAAAGGCGGCUCUUUUUCUGGCUAUUCCAGAACGUUAGCAGUUUCCGAGAGCUGAGGUAAAAACAGACCAAUCAGUUCUGAUUUACAGUAACAAUAAGAUAAACAUUAUCAGGACAGAGAUGAUUUUAAUAGAGUAGAACAGAGUUUUGGAGCUUCAGAGCUCAGACUGCUGAUGAUAAUAUCCGACGGACCAAUCAGACGACUUUAAAAUAAACUUUAUUCUAAAAUUAGAAUCAGAGAAAUGAAGACGAGGCGUUGGAGCACAAACCUCAUUAUACAAACCUCAAUAUACACAGAGUACAUCCAAACUGAUUUAAACACCCACUCUAAUGAUUACUGCCAGAUUCAGCUACUUCAACUGCUGACACUGAUGUGCAAAUGCACACAUACCAUACCACAUAGCUUAUCUAUUUCCUGUGGCAGGCUGAGUAAAAUGAACAUUGUUGUUUUAUUCUAUAAACUACAGACAACAUUUCUCCCAAAUUACAAAUAAAAAUAUUCUCAUUUAGAGCAUUUAUUUACAGAAAAUGAGAAAUGACUGAAAUAACAAAAAAGAUGCAGAACUUUCAGACCUCAAAUAAUGCAAAGAAAACAAGUUCAUAUUCAUAAAGUUUUAAGAGUUCAGAAAUAAUCAAUAUUUGGUGGAAUAACCCUGGUUGGUUUUUAAUCACAGUUUUUUUUUUCAUGCAUCUUGGCAUCAUGUUCUCCUCCACCAGUCUUACACACUGCUUUUGGAUAACUUUAUGCUGCUUUACUCCUGGUGCAAAAAUUCAGGCAGUUCAGUUUGGUGGUUUGAUGGUUUGUGAUCAUCCAUCUUCCUCUUGAUUAUAUUCCAGAGGUUUUUAAUUUGGUAAAAUCAAAGAAACUCAUCAUUUUUAAGUGAAAUCUUAUUUGUUCAGAGCUGUAUCUAUUGAAUAAGGAGACCAACCUGUUUGGAACAGAACUGGGAGUUCUCGUAACGCUCAACACAGAAUCUGUUCAAGAAUAAAGUCCCACCCUUUAACUAAACGAGCCAAUCAGCUUCCUGCCAAACCUGCAACCCAACUAAAGCGGAGAAAAAGCCAAAAAGAUGAAAUAUCAUGUUUUUUUUUAUUGCAUUAUGGAGCCAAAUGCUACAAACUCAUGAGGUUUAGAGGAUCUAAUGUGUCCUCAGAUACAGUAGAACAGAGAGGAGGCUGGUGUUAUUCGUAUUAUUGGCAAAUUAUUGAUUUCACUAUAAAGAAUUCUGUAUUAAUCCUCUUUUUAGGAUACAGGAAUGAUUUAAGCAUUUGGAAGGUGAUCAUUUAAUAUUAUGAUCACUAGAAAAGCCUUUUGUUUUUCCUGGAAAACAGAAGCAAAAUAGCAUAAUACACAUUUAUCACAUGUGUACUAACAUUUAUUACAUACUGUAAUUACUGUAAUUACAUAUUUUAACCCAAAGCAUUGCUGCAUUCCUCAUUGACUCUUUAUAAUUCAUUAAUAAACAGGUAAAAAAAUCGAUCACUGCAGGUUUUAGAGGGACGUGAGGAUGCUCUAAUUCCAGCUUCUCCUCCGGUGCUUUAACAUCAUACAGGGGCUAUAGCUCUCCAGCUAGCUGGUUGCUACGCUGUUGCUAGGAGACGGGUUUAGCAGCAUCUGCGGGUCCACGGUCUUCGCUGAUGCACAGCUUCAGAAGGGCGUUAUAGAAAGGUCGUUUAGUCAUACAUUAGCGCUAGCGCAGAAUUAGCCGCAGUCAGAUUCCUCUUCUUAUGGAUUUAUGUAACAUCCGAUUAGCAUUUACAUUAGCUAGCAUGCAGCGCUGCUCUCGACACCACUGGAACAUCAGAACCAGACCAGCAUAUAUUUACAUACACACACAUAUAUAUACACACACAUAUAUACACAUACACACACACACACACACACAAUGCAUUAACACACACUCAAUAGGUCCAAUGCUAAAUCUGUGUUCAUGCAAUUGUUCAAUUGUAUGCUAAUUUGUUUUUCCCUCAGACUCUCUCGCCCAUUCUCUCUCUCCUUUUUUCUUUCUUUCUAUCAUUCUGUGUGUGUGUGUGUGUGUGUGUGUGUGUGUGUGUGUGUGUUACAGUGGGUGGAGGUUCAGGACUGAAUCUGAGUUUGAGAUCAGACUGAUGUUCUAUUGUUCCACAUUCGUCCCCGUUCUGCCUCCUCCCCACAGCCAGCAGAACUACAUUACCCAUCAUGCACCAGCAUCUGAUUACCCAUCACCACCCUGUAGGAGAGCACUACUCUCUGCCUUGUCUGACUCCACGCAGACUGACCUGAUCUGACCACAUCACGAUCAAUAUCAGAUCUGAUCAGUGUCAGAUUAUUAAAUCUAAUCAAUUGGAUUAUCAGAUCUAAUCAGUAUUGGAUUAUGAUUAUGAUAUCUGAUCAGUGUUAAUUUAUCAAGUCUAAUCAGUGUUGGAUUAUCAGAUCUAAUCAGUAUUGAAGUAUUAAAUCUGAUCAGUGUUUGAUUAUAAUGAUCAAAUCUGAUCAGUGUUGAAUUAGCAAAUCUGAUUAGAACUAAAUUAUCAAAUCUAAUCAGUGUUGGGUUAAAACAUUUGAUCAUUGUAAGAUUAAUUCUUAAGUCUGUUCAGUGUUCGAUGGAUUAAAAUGUCUGAUCUGAUCGUUGGAUUACAGACUAAUCUGUCUUGGAUUGGUAAUCUAGAUCUGAUGAGUGUAAUAUAGAUAGAUAUCUGAUAAGCACUGGAUUAAACAGGUCAGUAAGUGAUAAACAACUCUAAUCAAUGUUGGGUUAACAGCUCUGUUAGUACUUGAUUGGUCAACCAUAUAUGAUCAGUGUUGGAUUGAUUAAUCAGGUCUGAUCAGUGAUGGAUUGUGGGAUUGAUUAAUCAGGUCUGAUCAGUGAUGGAUUGUGGGAUUGAUUAAUCAGGUCUGAUCAGUGAUGGAUUGUGGGAUUGAUUAAUCAGGUCUGAUGAGUGAUGGAUUGUGGGAUUGAUUAAUCAGGUCUGAUCAGUGAUGGAUUGUGGGAUUGAUUAAUCAUGUCUGAUGAGUGAUGGAUUGUGGGAUUGAUUAAUCAUGUCUGAUCAGUGAUGAAUUGUGGGAUUGAUUAAUCAUGUCUGAUGAGUGAUGGAUUGUGGGAUUGAUUAAUCAUGUCUGAUCAGUGAUGAAUUGUGGGAUUGAUUAAUCAGGCCUGAGAUCAGACAGUCUGCAGGAGUCAGUCUACGCUUAGCCGUACACGCUGUUAGCGAAUCAGACGGUUUCUUUUUUAUUUUUUUCAUUAACGCUUUGUGUUUGUCCCUCUGGCCCCGCCCCCUCUCUCUCUCAUUGGCGUAGCUGAUCACUCCUCCGUGUGUUUCUGUGUAAAUAACCUACAGAUGUAAAUACUCUCUAUUUUUUGACUGAGUGUCAGUGUGAAUAAUCCUCGUUCAGUAUUCGAUACGACAGAAGGUUUAUGGAAGUGUUUGCAUUUCUCUCUUUCUGUCACGGUCACGCCCCCUCCCCUAUUCUGGCCCCUCCCUCUGUUCAGUCUAUCUGGGUGCAUCUCGUAGCUUUAACUCCGCCUCCUACAGCGAUUUCUGUGAGAUCUUAACGUGUUUAAAACUCUGCUGCAGUACCC